rnacentral:rRNA from 1 species
CGUGUGUGAAGAAGGCCUGCGGGUUGUAAAGCACUUUCAGUGGGGAGGAAAAGCCUGAGGCCAAUACCCUUGGGUCUUGACGUUACCCACAGAAGAAGCACCGGCUAACUCCGUGCCAGCAGCCGCGGUAAUACGGAGGGUGCAAGCGUUAAUCGGAAUUACUGGGCGUAAAGCGCGCGUAGGCGGCUGACUAAGUCGGGUGUGAAAGCCCCGGGCUCAACCUGGGAAUUGCAUUCGAUACUGGUUGGCUGGAGUCUGGUAGAGGGGUGUGGAAUUCCAGGUGUAGCGGUGAAAUGCGUAGAUAUCUGGAGGAACAUCAGUGGCGAAGGCGGCACCCUGGACCAAGACUGACGCUGAGGUGCGAAAGCGUGGGUAGCAAACAGGAUUAGAUACCCUGGUAGUC